rnacentral:tRNA from 1 species
CGAGCUGAAGCUUUAAGAAGCAUUUUAGUUACAUUAAAAAGAUUAUUUUUAUACAGUUUGA